AGCUUGUGUAGGGUAUUUGCAGUCCAAUAUGACAAGAUUAGUGUGUAUGACUGAGUAUAAGAAAGUAAAAUGCAACCCGUAUCCUAGCUGCUAAAGUAGAGUAGAUAUAAAACAAAAAAACUCAUAGGGACUUCGUCCUCACUUACAAAACUUGGGAAAGCCAUAAUAAGCUUGUGUAUGGUUUUUGGAGUCCAAUAUGACAAGAUUGGUGUGUAUGACUGAGUAUAAGAAAGUGAAAUGCAACCCGGAUCCUGGCUGCUAAAGUAGAGUAGAUACAAAACAAAAAAACUCAUAGGGACUUCGUCUUCACUUACAAAACUUGGGGAAGGCAUAAUAAGCUUGUGUAGGGUAUUUGGAGUCCAAUAUGACAAGAUUAGUGUG
rnacentral:lncRNA from 1 species